GAUGAACGCUGGCGGCGUGCUUAACACAUGCAAGUCGAACGGAAAGGCUCCUGCUUGCAGGGGUACUCGAGUGGCGAACGGGUGAGUAACACGUGGGUGAUCUGCCCUGCACUUCGGGAUAAGCCUGGGAAACUGGGUCUAAUACCGGAUAGGACCACAUUUUGGAUGGUGUGGUGGAAAGUUUUUCGGUGUGGGAUGAGCUCGCGGCCUAUCAGCUUGUUGGUGGGGUAAUGGCCUACCAAGGCGUCGACGGGUAGCCGGCCUGAGAGGGUGUACGGCCACAUUGGGACUGAGAUACGGCCCAGACUCCUACGGGAGGCAGCAGUGGGGAAUAUUGCACAAUGGGCGCAAGCCUGAUGCAGCGACGCCGCGUGGGGGAUGACGGCCUUCGGGUUGUAAACUCCUUUCGCUAGGGACGAAGCGUUUUUGUGACGGUACCUGGAGAAGAAGCACCGGCCAACUACGUG
rnacentral:rRNA from 1 species